rfam:Microdochium bolleyi strain J235TASD1 unplaced genomic scaffold Micbo1qcscaffold_6, whole genome shotgun sequence.
GCCCGGUUAGCUCAAUCGGUAGAGCGUGAGACUCUUAUUCCAUUGGAACAAACAUUCCAAUCUCAAGGUUGCGGGUUCGACCCCCGCAUCGGGCU